UGAAGGUUAACCAUCAAUAUUUGAAUAAUAAAGCAAAAAGUUGAAAGCUCGACAGAGAAAGGAGCAAAACAUUGUUUCUUUUUUCCUUUUACUCUUCAAUGAAGCUCCUUCUUUUAUAGAUGUUAUUAUUUUUUUACCAAUUUCAUCGUUAAUAUUCUAAAUUAGGGAUUCUCGGCCAAUUCAUAUUUUCUUUCUCUUUUAAUUAUUUCUGAUUUUUGACAAAGACAAACCGAUUAUACUACCAUUCUCUUACUUCCUUCCUUGAAUUCUCAAAGUCACUCCAAUGAUGUUACUUGUAAUGUGUUUCGCACUCUCACGCCGCUCCUCUCUGUCUUUAAAGCCUGAAACUGAAAAAACUUGAGCCAUUGAGGAGAGAUUUUUCACAACUACGGGGCUAUGUUGCAGAUGAACAAGUUUUAUUUUCAAGAAAAGGGAAAGCUUAAGAUUAUUCUUUCGGGGCUACUUCAUUGCUUGUCGUUCUUGCCUCCUAAUAAGGAAAAGGAUGCCUCAGCUGAAAAAGUAGCUCCUUAUUUUCUGAUUGUCAUCUAUGUUGUUAUAAUUAUAAUCUUACUAAAUUCAUAAAGAUAUUGGUAAGAAUGCCGAUUUCUGGCAAGUAAACAAAUUAACUUUUGUAUGUAAAUUAGAUUUUCAUCACCUUUGAUCCAACAAUAACUUGAGAUUUUCCUUUUAGAUAAUCUAACCUGAUUUUGUUAUGGUUUUUAAUGUUCUUUCUUUCAAAGAUUUGUAGUAUAAACCCAAAAUUUGUAUUAUUGCUUUCUUUGGAAGAAGAUUCUUCAAGGACUGGACAUACAUAAGUAGAACCUAUUUUGAUUUUCAUA